rnacentral:lncRNA from 1 species
UGGUAGGACCUGGUGGAUCUCCAGACCACAGUGAUGACCAUGACCAUCACUGAUUUGCAGCCUGAAACUAUUCCAUGGAAUAAAUUCAGGGGAGGUGGAGAGACAAUAUCCAGUAUAUGCUGCGACCUUAACUUUCAAAAUUGGAAGCCUUUUGUUUUUGUUUGGUUGAUUGGCCUUAGUUUCUUUUUCUUUUUUGAUGUUGUUGCUUUUGCAACAUCUGAGAUAGAUUCUCUGUGAUAAUUUAGACACAGGGUGGGUACCUUUUGGAACACUAAGGAUCUUGUAAGGAUGUCCUUCUAUGCAUUGCCAAAUAAUGGAUGGGUACUGC